rnacentral:lncRNA from 1 species
CGCUGAGGCCGCGUAGGAGAACUGAGCUGCUGGGUCCUGCCGUCAGUGCAGUUUCUUGGCAGCACGUUGGGGACACUGCGCCAUUAGAAGAGAGCCACAGAAUGUUAAAGGAACAACGUGUGAAAUGAAAGACCUCAGGUGCUGUAUUGGCUCUUGACAGCUCUUCAGAAGAAAGCACCUCCUGCCUGUUCUGUUCAGUCCUGGUGCAGGUGGUCCUGGACAACACUUUGAAAAAUGCUGGGGCAGAAACAAGCCAGCAAGCAUAUGGGAUUCAUCUGCUGUGAGUGAUAAUUUAUCUAGUUUCUAAAUAUAGUGUUAUAGGCUGGACUGUGUCCCCUUCGCCUCCCCCCCGCCGCCAUGCAUAUAUUGACGCCCUAACCCCUAGCACCUCAGAAUGUGACUGUAUUUGGAAACAGGGCCUUU